rnacentral:misc_RNA from 1 species
GUAGGUGAACCUGCGGAAGGAUCAUUAACACGUGAUACUCACGUAUUAAAAACCCACCGAGAAUUUGUUAUUUUGAAUCCUAUUGUUGAUUGUGAGUAGACGAAGUGAGGGAAUGCUAUUGACCGCCUUUCGAAAGAUUGUACGUCAUAACUCAUUAGUUGUUCUAGGUCCGCCCUGGAGCUUGCACCAAUAAAUAGUUGAUGAAUUACGACUGCUUAUUAAGCUUGUAGCAUAGCUUGCAGCUCGUAGU